UACGUAGGGGGCAAGCGUUGUCCGGAAUCAUUGGGCGUAAAGCGCGUGUAGGCGGCCCGGUAAGUCCGCUGUGAAAGUCCAGGGCUCAACCCUGGGAUGCCGGUCGAUACUGCCGGACUAGAGUUCGGAAGAGGCGAGUGGAAUUCCCGGUGUAGCGGUGAAAUGCGCAGAUAUCGGGAGGAACACCAAUGGCGAAGGCAGCUCGCUGGGACGUUACUGACGCUGAGACGCGAAAGCGUGGGGAGCAAACAGG
rnacentral:rRNA from 1 species